AGCAGCCGCGGUAAUUCCAGCUCCAAUAGCGUAUAUUAAAGUUGUUGCAGUUAAAAAGCUCGUAGUUGAAUUUCGGGGUCAGUAGAUUGGUCGUGCCACUGGUAUGUACUGGUCUUACUGGCUCCUCCUUCCUGAUGAACCCGUAAUGCCAUUAAUUUGGUGUUGCGGGGAGACUGGACUGUUACUUUGAAAAAUUGAGUGUUUAAAGCAGGCUAACGCUUGAAUACAUUAGCAUGGAAUAAUGAAAUAGGACGUUCGAUCUUAAUUUUGUUGGUUUCUAAGAUUGACGUAAUGAUUAAUAGGGAUAGUUGGGGGCAUUAGUAUUCAAAUUGUCAGAGGUGAAAUUCUUGGAUUUAUUGAAGACUAACUACUGCGAAAGCAUUUGCCAAGGAUGUUUUCAUUAAUCAAGAACGA
rnacentral:sRNA from 1 species